rnacentral:rRNA from 1 species
AGAGUUUGAUCCUGGCUCAGGAUGAACGCUGGCGGCAUGCCUAACACAUGCAAGUCGAACGGAGCUAUUAGACGGAAGCCUUCGGGCGGAAGAUUAAUAGCUUAGUGGCGGACGGGUGAGUAACGCGUGAGUAACCUGCCUCUCAGAGGGGGAUAACGUUCUGAAAAGAACGCUAAUACCGCAUAUAAUCAAGAAACCGCAUGAUUUUUUGAUGAAAGGAGCAAUCCGCUGAGAGAUGGACUCGCGUCUGAUUAGCUAGAUGGUGGGGUAACGGCCUACCAUGGCGACGAUCAGUAGCCGGACUGAGAGGUUGAACGGCCACAUUGGGACUGAGACACGGCCCAGACUCCUACGGGAGGCAGCAGUGGGGGAUAUUGCGCAAUGGGGGAAACCCUGACGCAGCAAUGCCGCGUGAAGGAAGAAGGUUUUCGGAUUGUAAACUUCUUUUGUUAAGGACGAAGAAUGACGGUACUUAACGAAUAAGCUCCGGCUAACUAUGUGCCAGCAGCCGCGGUAAUACAUAGGGAGCAAGCGUUAUCCGGAUUUACUGGGUGUAAAGGGUGCGUAGGCGGCUAAGCAAGUCAGAUGUGAAAUACACGGGCUCAACCCGUGAGCUGCAUUUGAAACUGUUUAGCUUGAGUGAAGUAGAGGCAGGCGGAAUUCCCGGUGUAGCGGUGAAAUGCGUAGAGAUCGGGAGGAACACCAGUGGCGAAGGCGGCCUACUGGGCUUUAACUGACGCUGAGGCACGAAAGUGUGGGUAGCAAACAGGAUUAGAUACCCUGGUAGUCCACACUGUAAACGAUGAUUACUAGGUGUGGGGGGUCUGACCCCCUCCGUGCCGGAGUUAACACAAUAAGUAAUCCACCUGGGGAGUACGACCGCAAGGUUGAAACUCAAAGGAAUUGACGGGGGCCCGCACAAGCAGUGGAGUAUGUGGUUUAAUUCGACGCAACGCGAAGAACCUUACCAAGACUUGACAUAUACAUGAAAGCCUAAGAGAUUAGGCCCCUCUUCGGAGCGUGUAUACAGGUGAUGCAUGGUUGUCGUCAGCUCGUGUCGUGAGAUGUUAGGUUAAGUCCUGCAACGAGCGCAACCCCUGUGAUUAGUUGCCAACAGGUUAAGCUGGGAACUCUAAUCAGACUGCCGGUGAUAAAUCGGAGGAAGGUGGGGAUGACGUCAAAUCAUCAUGCCCUUUAUGUCCUGGGCUACACACGUACUACAAUGGCUGUAACAAAGGGAAGCGAAGCCGCGAGGUGGAGCAAAACCCAAAAAAGCAGUCUCAGUUCGGAUUGAAGGCUGAAAUUCGCCUUCAUGAAGCCGGAAUUGCUAGUAAUGGCAGGUCAGCAUACUGCCGUGAAUACGUUCCCGGGCCUUGUACACACCGCCCGUCACACCAUGAGAGUUGGGAAUACCCGAAGCCUGUGAGCUAACUUUUAGAGGCAGCAGUCGAAGGUAGAAUCAAUGAUUGGGGUGAAGUCGUAACAAGGUAGCCGUAUCAGAAGGUGCGGCUG